rnacentral:lncRNA from 1 species
GUAAAACAUAUAUAUAGUUUGCCGAUAAAUCUAGAAAAGAGGUUACAUCACUUAUCUUGCGAACGCGAUCCACAACAAAUCCAAUUAAUUCCGCAAAUCCCUCGCAGAACCUAAUAUUCAAAAAUCGUAUUCUUCUUUUAAAAUUCAUUACAAUAUAUGUAUACAAAGACUUAAAUUUUAAUAUCUUCCCAUGGCUGGCCCUGCAGGAGUGCCUAGCACCCCGAGUUUGGGUUCAUACCCGUAAACCACCCUCUCUCUUUAUUAUUAUUAUUAU